rnacentral:rRNA from 1 species
UACGUAGGGUGCAAGCGUUAAUCGGAAUUACUGGGCGUAAAGCGUGCGCAGGCGGCUUUGCAAGACAGAUGUGAAAUCCCCGGGCUUAACCUGGGAACUGCAUUUGUGACUGCAUGGCUAGAUUGCGGCAGAGGGGGAUGGAAUUCCGCGUGUAGCAGUGAAAUGCGUAGAUAUGCGGAGGAACACCGAUGGCGAAGGCAAUCCCCUGGGCCUGCACUGACGCUCAUGCACGAAAGCGUGGGGAGCGAACCGG